rnacentral:rRNA from 1 species
UAUCUGGUUGAUUCUGCCAGUAGUCAUAUGCUUGUCUCAAAGAUAAGCCAUGCA